CACCAGAGCCUUCAGGGGGCACGGAGCCCUCCUUUCUCCGAGGGGGCGGAGGGGCGGGGCCUGGCUCCAAGGCCGGGGUCCUCCUGCAGCAGCCGAACCCAAGGCGCGGGCUCACCUGUGAUCACCCAUCUUGAGACAACAGACCUGCCACCCUGCUGUGCCCACCGAGACAGCCGACCUACUACCUACCGUGUCCAUCAAUCACUGUGCCCUCAGAGCAGUCUUCCCUCAGGAAGGAGGUCAGCUAUGGGAGAAGUGGGGUUUCCUGCUCAAUAUUACAAGGAAGGGCCUGGAGCUGUUCCAGAAGAGGCUCUCUCGACAAAAGCAAGAUGGACAGAGUUGAAGACUGGAAAGCAGAAUGCAGCCUGCCGUGAAGAGGACCUCUGUUAAGGGGUUGGGGUGCAGGUGGGGAGGGGCUCUGCUCAGCCCGGGGGCCCACCCUCUCUGGGCUGCUGUGAGCUCCCCACCCCCCUCUGCCCAGGUGUUAGAGGGACGAGGGCAGACAUCAGUGUGAACAGGCCUCAGCUCCCGGAGACAGGGGGCUCCUGAGACGGAGCAGCCUGGGAGGGGCAGGCAAGGGGACAGGGGGCAGGGGGCAGGGGCCAGACAUGGCGGAGCUGAAUUUGGCUACAGAGAAAUGGGGGCUUCAUCCAGCACCUGGGCACUGAGACUGGGGAGUCCGACUCCUGACCCGAGCAUGCCGGGGCCUCCAGCAUCCCACCUGGUACCUCCCUGGGGGCUGGGCAGACGCCAGGGUUGAGCAAGAGCACUGGCACAGGGCCUGAG
rnacentral:lncRNA from 1 species